UACAGGGGGGGCAAGCGUUGUUCGGAAUACUGGGCGUAAAGGGUUCGUAGGUGGCCACUUAAGUCAGACGUGAAAUCCCUCAGCUUAACUGGGGAACUGCGUCUGAUACUGGGUGGCUUGAGUGCAGGAGAGGAAUGCGGAAUUCCAGGUGUAGCGGUGAAAUGCGUAGAUAUCUGGAGGAACACCGGUGGCGAAGGCGGCAUUCUGGACUGUAACUGACACUGAUGAACGAAAGCCAGGGGAGCAAACGGG
rnacentral:rRNA from 1 species